rnacentral:rRNA from 1 species
ACUCCUACGGGAGGCAGCAGUGGGGAAUAUUGCACAAUGGGCGCAAGCCUGAUGCAGCCAUGCCGCGUGUGUGAAGAAGGCCUUCGGGUUGUAAAGCACUUUCAGUAGGGAGGAAGGUAGUGUAGUUAACACCUGCACUAUUUGACGUUACCUACAGAAGAAGCACCGGCUAACUCCGUGCCAGCAGCCGCGGUAAUACGGAGGGUGCGAGCGUUAAUCGGAAUUACUGGGCGUAAAGCGCAUGCAGGCGGCCUGUUAAGUCAGAUGUGAAAGCCCGGGGCUUAACCUCGGAAUUGCAUUUGAAACUGGCAGGCUAGAGUCUUGUAGAGGGGGGUAGAAUUUCAGGUGUAGCGGUGAAAUGCGUAGAGAUCUGAAGGAAUACCAGUGGCGAAGGCGGCCCCUGGACAAAGACUGACGCUCAGAUGCGAAAGCGUGGGGAGCAAACAGGAUUAGAUACCCUGGUAGGAUAGCG